GAAUGGGGAAACCCACUAGCAUAAGCUAGUAUCGUUAUGUGAAUACAUAGCAUAACGAGGCGAACCGGGGGAACUGAAACAUCUAAGUACCCCGAGGAAAAGAAAUCAACCGAGAUUCCGAAAGUAGCGGCGAGCGAAAUUGGACUAGCCCUUAAGCUUUACACGCGUUAGACGAACGGUCUGGAAAGUCCGACGAUACAGGGUGAUAGUCCCGUAGUUGACGACGUGUGUUCAGUGAAAUCGAGUAGGGCGGGACACGUGAUAUCCUGUCUGAAUAUGGGGGGACCAUCCUCCAAGGCUAAAUACUACUGACUGACCGAUAGUGAACCAGUACCGUGAGGGAAAGGCGAAAAGAACCCCUGUGAGGGGAGUGAAAUAGAACCUGAAACCGUGUACGUACAAGCAGUAGGAGCAGGCUUUGUCCUGUGACUGCGUACCUUUUGUAUAAUGGGUCAGCGACUUAUAUUCAGUGGCAAGGUUAACCAUCUAGGGGAGCCGUAGGGAAACCGAGUCUUAACUGGGCGUUCAGUCUCUGGAUAUAGACCCGAAACCAGGUGAUCUAGCCAUGGGCAGGUUGAAGGUUGAGUAACAUCAACUGGAGGACCGAACCGACUAAUGUUGAAAAAUUAGCGGAUGACUUGUGGCUAGGGGUGAAAGGCCAAUCAAACCUGGAGAUAGCUGGUUCUCCCCGAAAGCUAUUUAGGUAGCGCCUCGGACGAAUACUACUGGGGGUAGAGCACUGUUAAGGCUAGGGGGUCAUCCCGACUUACCAACCCUUUGCAAACUCCGAAUACCAGUAAGUACUAUCCGGGAGACACACGGCGGGUGCUAACGUCCGUCGUGGAGAGGGAAACAACCCAGACCGCCAGCUAAGGUCCCAAAUUACUACUAAGUGGGAAACGAUGUGGGAAGGCUCAGACAGCCAGGAUGUUGGCUUAGAAGCAGCCAUCAUUUAAAGAAAGCGUAAUAGCUCACUGGUCGAGUCGGCCUGCGCGGAAGAUGUAACGGGGCUAAGUAGUAAACCGAAGCUGCGGCAAUACUCUUUGAGUAUUGGGUAGGGGAGCGUUCUGUAAGCGGUUGAAGGUGUGUGGUAACGCAUGCUGGACGUAUCAGAAGUGCGAAUGCUGACAUGAGUAACGAUAAAGGGGGUGAAAAACCUCCUCGCCGGAAGACCAAGGGUUCCUGUCCAACGUUAAUCGGGGCAGGGUAAGUCGACCCCUAAGGCGAGGCCGAAAGGCGUAGUCGAUGGGAAACGGGUUAAUAUUCCCGUACUUCUUACAAUUGCGAUGGGGGGACGGAGAAGGCUAGGUGGGCCUGGCGACGGUUGUCCAGGUUCAAGUGCGUAGGCUUAAGAGUUAGGUAAAUCCGGCUCUUUCUAAGGCUGAGACACGACGUCGAGCACCUACGGGUGUGAAGUCAUUGAUGCCAUGCUUCCAGGAAAAGCCUCUAAGCUUCAGAUUGUAAGGAAUCGUACCCCAAACCGACACAGGUGGUCGGGUAGAGAAUACCAAGGCGCUUGAGAGAACUCGGGUGAAGGAACUAGGCAAAAUGGUACCGUAACUUCGGGAGAAGGUACGCUCUCGACGGUGAAGUCCCUCGCGGAUGGAGCUAUUGAGAGUCGCAGAUACCAGGUGGCUGCAACUGUUUAUUAAAAACACAGCACUGUGCAAAAUCGUAAGAUGACGUAUACGGUGUGACGCCUGCCCGGUGCCGGAAGGUUAAUUGAUGGGGUUAGACUUCGGUCGAAGCUCUUGAUCGAAGCCCCGGUAAACGGCGGCCGUAACUAUAACGGUCCUAAGGUAGCGAAAUUCCUUGUCGGGUAAGUUCCGACCUGCACGAAUGGCGUAAUGAUGGCCACGCUGUCUCCACCCGAGACUCAGUGAAAUUGAAAUCGCUGUGAAGAUGCAGUGUACCCGCGGCUAGACGGAAAGACCCCGUGAACCUUUACUACAGCUUGGCACUGAACAUUGACCCUACAUGUGUAGGAUAGGUGGGAGGCUUUGAAGCACGUACGCCAGUAUNCACCCGAGACUCAGUGAAAUUGAAAUCGCUGUGAAGAUGCAGUGUACCCGCGGCUAGACGGAAAGACCCCGUGAACCUUUACUACAGCUUGGCACUGAACAUUGACCCUACAUGUGUAGGAUAGGUGGGAGGCUUUGAAGCAGGUACGCCAGUAUCUGUGGAGCCGUCCUUGAAAUACCACCCUUGUAGUGUUGAUGUUCUAACGUCGACCCCUAAUCGGGGUUGCGGACAGUGCCUGGUGGGUAGUUUGACUGGGGCGGUCUCCUCCCAAAGAGUAACGGAGGAGCACGAAGGUGGGCUAAUCACGGUUGGACAUCGUGAGGUUAGUGCAAUGGCAUAAGCCCGCUUGACUGCGAGAAUGACAAUUCGAGCAGGUGCGAAAGCAGGUCAUAGUGAUCCGGUGGUUCUGAAUGGAAGGGCCAUCGCUCAACGGAUAAAAGGUACUCCGGGGAUAACAGGCUGAUACCGCCCAAGAGUUCAUAUCGACGGCGGUGUUUGGCACCUCGAUGUCGGCUCAUCACAUCCUGGGGCUGAAGUCGGUCCCAAGGGUAUGGCUGUUCGCCAUUUAAAGUGGUACGCGAGCUGGGUUUAGAACGUCGUGAGACAGUUCGGUCCCUAUCUGCCGUGGGCGUUGGAAGAUUGAAGGGGGCUGCUCCUAGUACGAGAGGACCGGAGUGGACGAACCUCUGGUGUUCGGGUUGUGUCGCCAGACGCAUUGCCCGGUAGCUAAGUUCGGAAUCGAUAACCGCUGAAAGCAUCUAAGCGGGAAGCGAGCCCUGAGAUGAGUCUUCCCUGAUACUUUAAGUAUCCUAAAGGGUUGUCGGAGACUACGACGUUGAUAGGUCAGGUGUGUAAGUGCUGUGAGGCAUUGAGCUAACUGAUACUAAUUGCCCGUGAGGCUUAACCAU
rnacentral:rRNA from 1 species